GUAUCAUGGCUCAGGAUGAACGCUAGCGGCAGGCUUAACACAUGCAAGUCGAGGGGCAGCAUAAUGGAUAGCAAUAUCUAUGGUGGCGACCGGCGCACGGGUGCGUAACGCGUAUGCAACCUACCGUUUAACAGGGGGAUAACACUGAGAAAUUGGUACUAAUACCCCAUAAUAUCAUAGAAGGCAUCUUUUAUGGUUGAAAAUUCCGAAUGGUUUAGAGAUGGGCAGUGCGUUGUU
rnacentral:rRNA from 1 species